AGUCUUCGGACUGAGUGGCGGACGGGUGAGUAACACGUGAGAACCUGCCUUAAGGUCGGGGAUAACAGUUGGAAACGACUGCUAAUACCGGAUGUGCCUACGGGUGAAAGAUUUAUUGCCUAAAGAUGGGCUCGCGUCUGAUUAGCUAGUUGGAGUGGUAAUGGCACACCAAGGCGACGAUCAGUAGCUGGUCUGAGAGGAUGAUCAGCCACACUGGGACUGAGACACGGCCCAGACUCCUACGGGAGGCAGCAGUGGGGAAUUUUCCGCAAUGGGCGAAAGCCUGACGGAGCAAGACCGCGUGAGGGAGGAAGGCUCUUGGGUUGUAAACCUCUUUUGUCAGGGAAGAACACAAUGACGGUACCUGACGAAUCAGCAUCGGCUAACUCCGUGCCAGCAGCCGCGGUAAUACGGAGGAUGCAAGCGUUAUCCGGAAUUAUUGGGCGUAAAGCGUCCGCAGGUGGUUGUACAAGUCUGCUGUCAAAGCGCGGAGCUUAACUCCGUAAAGGCGGUGGAAACUGUGCGACUAGAGUUCGGUAGGGGUCGCGGGAAUUCCCAGUGUAGCGGUGAAAUGCGUAGAUAUUGGGAAGAACACCGGUGGCGAAAGCGCGCGACUGGACCGAGACUGACACUCAUGGACGA
rnacentral:rRNA from 1 species